rnacentral:rRNA from 1 species
UACGUAUGGUGCAAGCGUUAUCCGGAUUUACUGGGUGUAAAGGGAGCGUAGGCGGCGCGUUAAGUCUGAUGUGAAAACCCGAGGCUCAACCACGGGAGUGCAUUGGAAACUGGCGGGCUGGAGUGCCGGAGAGGUAAGCGAAAUUCCUAGUGUAGCGGUGAAAUGCGUAGAUAUUAGGAGGAACACCAGUGGCGAAGGCGGCUUACUGGACGGCAACUGACGCUGAGGCUCGAAAGCGUGGGGAGCAAACAGG